AUGUGUUUUUUCCUUCCAUCAGAGGACAGGAACAGAGGGACUUCACAGGGGAAAGGAGGACCCAGUCCCCAGGGUCCCUGUCCACAGAUAGGAAGGUCAAUACUUCUGGAAAAGGAACAAAGGUUGGGUAGCCCAGGCUCCAGGCCCACGGAUGGACCCCAGGCAGCCCUGGAUCAGUUUCUCCACUGGGUCAAGCACAGCUGCAACUGGGAAGCUGUGCAAUACCGUCGGGGACCCGCCAAUGAGAGUCUGCCUGCCGGUGAGCCUGCCAGUGAGGCAGGAGCCAGCCGACUUGAAGGAGACCGGAAGGCAAUCGAUCAGAGUCGCCCUGGCAACCGGGCUGAGCCAGAGACAGACAGCACGUCGAUAAUGAAAUCAUCGUUAAACGACUUCAAGCCCUAAUUAAUAAUCCAGGCCAACCGAGGCCAUGCCUGACUGGGGUGGGGGGGGAGGGGAUGUCAUUGUUGGGGGAGCAUUGGAAGCUUCUGGACAAUUAAUCAAUUAAUCCACUCACUCAAUAAUUGGCUCCUUUGUCCUCCGCCGUGCCCCCCUCCCCCCUACCAUCCACCUCUGACUGCGGAGGGGCUAAGAAGAGAUGUGCGGCUUAUCAUUUCCAAGGGUCAUGGAGCCUCUUCUCUUUUUAGAUUUCCUGGACCAACUCAAAACCCUUUCCCAAGGUUGGACUCUUCCACAAGACCCACCAAAGGGCAAAAAUUUCAGCACCUGGAGCCCUAGCUAUCCAGACACCUCCCCGUACCGCCUGCUCCUUAGCCCAUGGCAUCCCCACCCCCACAUGCCCGCCACACACAGACCCACCCUGACUGAGGAAAGAGCACUGAACUCCAGUCAAGAGAGUCAGGGAGGAGUUCCCGUCGUGGUGCAGUGGUUAACGAAUCCGACUAGGAACCAUGAGGUUGUGGGUUCCAUCCCUGGCCUCACUCAGUGGGUUAAGGAUCCAGCGUUGCCGUGAGCUGUGGUGUAGGUUGCAGAUGUGGCUCGGAUCCUGUGUUGCUGUGGCUGUGGUGUAGGCUAGUGGCUACAGCUCGGAUUAGACCCCUAGCCUGGGAACAUCCACAUGAAAGGGGCUCAGUCCUAAAAAGACAAAAAAGACAAACAAAAAAGAAGAUUCAGGGAAAUCCCAGCCACACCAGUCCACUGCCAAAUAUGUGACUUUGGGCAGAUGACACGCCCUCUCUCAAGACCUCAGUUUCCCCAGCUGUUACCUGAGAGGCCCCAACUGAUUUCAGAGAUUUUCUGAUACCUUCCUGCCCUAUAGACAGUACCCUAUGAUGCUAAUGACUGGGCCUGGAUCCUCUCCCACUCCUCUCUACUCCGUUUCUUUACCUUAGAGGGUAAGAGGGGGACUGGAAGGAGUGCCAGGCACUGAUUUAUAAAGUUCCCC
rnacentral:lncRNA from 1 species